rnacentral:rRNA from 1 species
UAUCUCUGUAGAGUCUGCAUAUCAAUAAGCGGAGGAAAAGAAACUAACUAGGAUUCCCUUAGUAACGGCGAGUGAAGCGGGAAGAGCUCAAAUUUGAAAUCUUCAAGGUUUUACCUUGACGAAUUGUAGUUUAAAGAAGUGUUUUCUGUUGGAGUUUUGGUAAAAGUUCUUUGGAAUAGGACAUCAUAGAGGGUGAGAAUCCCGUAUUUGACCAUUAUUUCCAGCUUUGUGAUACACUUUCAAAGAGUCGGAUUGUUUGGGAAUGCAGUCCAAAAUGGGUGGUAAAUUUCAUCUAAAGCUAAAUAUUGGCGAGAGACCGAUAGCGAACAAGUACCGUGAGGGAAAGAUGAAAAGAACUUUGAAAAGAGAGUUAAACAGUACGUGAAAUUGUCAAAAGGGAAGCGUUUGACACCAGUGUUGUUUUUCUGAAAAUCAAUUAAAGAACUGUUUAUGCUAAGCUGUUUAGACUUUAUCAGCUAAUCUGUUUAGUUUUGAGCUUUUCUUUAAUGCACUUUUCAGUUAACAAGUCAACAUCAAUUUCUUUUGCUGUAAAAAAGCUUGAGGAAGGUGGCUUGAGAUUCGUCUUAAGUGUUUAUAGCCUCUUGCCUAUGCAGUCGGAGAGAUUGAGGUCUGCAGCGUAGACCCUUCGGGGCUAAAUGCAUUUGUGCUAAGUUAUAGCAUUUUAUAGACAACUUGUUGACUAUGAUUUGUCUUGUAGCUUACUCGCUUAUGUUAUUUUACCUACGCUUAGGAUGUUGACGAUCAGCUGAGCGCG